rnacentral:rRNA from 1 species
AUUUUCCGCAAUGGGCGAAAGCCUGCCGGAGCAACGCCGCGUGAGGGAUGAAGAUCUUCGGCUCGUAAACAACUGUCUUCAGGGACGAUAAUGACGGUACGUGAGGAGGAAGCCACGGCUAACUACGUGCCCGCAGCCGCGGUAGUACGUAGGUGGCGAGCGUUGUCAGGAAUUACUGGGCGUAAAGGGCGGGUAGGCGGCCUUUUAAGUCAGAUGUGAAAUCUCAGGGCUUAACCCGGAAACUGCAUUGGAAACUGGAGGGCUUGAGGAUCGGAGAGGGCAGUGGAAUUCCCAGUGUAGCGGUGAAAUGCGUAGAUAUUGGGAGGAACACCAGGGGCGAAGGCGACUGCCUGGACGACACCUGACGCUGAGGCGCGAAAGCUAGGGGAGCAAACGGG